UUGCUUUGGCAGCACACAGACUAAAAUUGGAACAAGACAAAGAUGAGCAUGGCCCCUGCACAAGGAUGACACCCAAAUUCAUGAAGCAGUCCAUAUUUAA
rnacentral:snRNA from 1 species